ACUCGGCCACUUUCUGCUCCUUCCGAGCUCUCGAUUCAAAACUCGAGUCUCAGCUGGAGCGAACUGACGUCACUUGACAGUGUGCACAGUUUGAUUCCCGCGAGUCCAGACACACUCUGGGCGGAGGCCUAAGGAAGCAGACAACCCUUGGCCUCGGGUGCAGGAGCCCGGGCGAGAAACCCCGGCAGCGGGAGCGGCAGCGAGAGGCCAGAGAGAGAGAGAGGUCUUCCAUCUGAUGGUUCACUCCCCAGAUGGCCGCAACAGCCAGAGCUGCACCAAUCCGAAGCCAGGAACCAGGAGCUUCUUCCAGGUCUCCCACGCCAGUGCAGGGGCCCAAGGAUUUGGGCCAUCUUCUACUGCUUUCCCAGGCCAUAGCAGAGAGCUGGACAGGAAGUGGAGCAGCCAAGUCUCGAACCGGCACCCAUAUGGGAUGCCGGCACUUCAGGCCAGGGCAUUAGCCCUCUGCGCCACAGCACCGGCCCCAGUCAUUAUUUCUUCAAAUAUUUUCUAUUCACAUUUUCUCUUUCCUUUUCUUCUGAGUUUCCUAUUAUAUGUAUGUUGGACUCUUUGAUUUGUCCCAAAAGUUAAUAGAAUUCAGUCUGCCUAUUCAUUUUUAAAUAGUUUUUACGUCUGUUUUUCAGAUUGCAUAAUUUCUCAUAAUCUUUUAAAUUUGCUGACCCAGUGACUGUUUCAGCUGUUAAGCCUACCGUGAUUUUUUUAUUUCAGAUCUUAUGCUUUUCAGUUAUAGGAUUUUUAUUUAGCUAUUUUUUUGGGGUGGGGGAGUUAUUUCCAUUUCUGUUUCCCUACUGGGGUUUCCUAUCUGUUAAUUCACCAUGACUAUAUAUAUUAAAAUGUUUAAUAAGCAUAUACUGAAGUCCUAAAAUAUACAUAUAAUGUUUAAUGUCUUUGCUAAUUCUUUUUUUUUUUUUUUACAGGCAAAGUUAGAGAGAGAGAGAGAGAGAGACAGAGAGAAAGGUCUUCCUUCCGUUGGUUCACCUCCCUAAUGGCUGCUACAGCUGGCACGCUGAGCUGAUCUGAAGCCAGGAGCCAGGCUUCCUCCUGGUCUCCCAUGCGGGUGCAGGGCCCAAGCACUUGGGCCAUCCUCCACUGCACUCCCGGGCCACAGCAGAGAGCUGGACUGGAAGAGGAGCAACCAGAACAGAACCGGCGUCCCAACUAGGACUAGAAUCUGGUGUGCCAACACCACAGGAGGAGGAUUAGCCUAGUGAGCCGUGGCGCCAGCCAUCUAAUUCUUACAUGUUUAUCAUCUUGGGAUCAGCUUCUCUUCACUGCUUUUCUGUUGACUAUAGGCCAAAUUUUCCUGUUGCUUUAGAAAUCUGUUAUUUUUUUUUAUUGUAUACUAAACAUUGUAGAUAUAUAGUAGAGCCACUAAGUUCUGGAAUCUUCCUCUAAGGGGUGUUGGUUUUUUUCUAGCAGAUAGUUAACUUGGCUGGAAUUAAACUCCACCUGAAAUUUCUUUCAGCAAUCCAGAUGUUUCUUUCUGCCGGGGGUUUUGGAGCUUCCACCAUGCACACACAGUUCAGGAAUCAAGCAAGGAUUUUGGCAGAGUUAGGUGCAUUUCUUGGUGCUCUUUCUCUGUGGUUUGUUUCUUUUCAGGAUUUGCCUGUUCCGGUGUCUGCUGCUCUGGGAAACCCAAACUCCAUCCUCUAAUUUCUUAAACCAUUAAGACUGUAGCUUUCUGACUGAGUUUCAGCUACUUUACACAGUACACACUGUGCGAAAAUAUAAAUAAGAAUAAAUGUCACUCGUUAUAUUUCUAUUCUGUGAAUAAUAGCCAUCCUUUUAAUUCUGCCUGCAUGUUUUUGGUUGCUUUCCAGUAACAAAAACUAAUAUUUAAAAUAAUUUUUCAAAUGAUUUUUAUAGUUUCUUAAAAGUUUUAUCAUUUUUAUCCAUAAAGAAGUUUCAUCUAAUAAACUCUCCUAUGACAUAAUUUACUGGAAAUACAUCUUUAGUGAAAUGAACGCUGCUGUAUGUUGCUGUGUAGUUCAUGUAUUAGGAAAGAAAUAUUACUUGCAGCUAGAUGAAACAGGAUUUAGCAUCAGUUCUAUUUCUAGUUUUAGUUCUUGUAGAUGUAAACACUGAGAAAAGCUGUCUAAAAAUGGAUGGAUAUGGGAACCUUUUGAAAUGACAGUGUCACUCAAAUCUUUGAUCUUCUUCCAAGAUAAAUGCUAAAAAUCACAUAAUACUCUGUCAUCAAAAGUUAUUUUUUAUGAUCUGUCAUUAGAUACCCUACUUAGGUCUUCCUUUGUUUGAGUUAGUCACUUUCUCAGUUCCUGGGAAGUAUGCCAAAAAGACUUUUAAAAGACUUACCCAAAUUUUAAUAAUUACAGUCUAACCUUUUCAUCUUAAAUCACCUUAUUUUUCAACUCAGAGUUGAUAAAAAGAAGUAUUAGCAUUUUUAUAAACCUGUCGCCAAUACAAUAUUUUUCAUUUAAGUGUUUUAUCCUUAUGAGCUUUAAUCAUAAUUUCAUCAAAACUUUGGAACUGCACAUCUGUCUCUUUCAAUGUAUGUAAAAACCUCACUUAAAAGUUAAUCAGCAAAGCCAGGCUUCAUUAUGAAAUCAAUCAGCCAGAGCAGACUUUUUUCAAUUCACAUGAGCACAUUGCAAUGUACUGCUCUGUCAACAUGUCGGUUUCGUGUUCUAAAACUCUGCCACUUUCGAUAUUUCUCACUGAUGCUGUAUUUUGUUCCUGUGGGAUAUUCCUUGGAGCGUGCAGUCUUUGAUAGUGGUCAGGGUUUAGAAGAGGCAAGACUUUUCCAUAAAACUUGUCAUCACUCUCACAACCUCAACUCUAGAAUACGUAUGUAUAGGACAUCUCAACACAGGCCUAUGUGCGCCAUUUCCAAUGUCACCAUCACUUUAAAGAUUAGUCCUUUAACAAGAAAAGACAGGAAAUACUGUUGCAAUUUUAUGGGGCCUUUAAGGAGUUGUUGCUAAUAGGUAUAUUUCAAAUACCAUCUUGCUAAUAGGUAUAUUUCAAAUACCAUCUUGCUUGAGAGCCUCAGGUCUGUUUAUACCUUGGGGCAAGGAGCCAUUGGAAGAUUCAGGAUGGGUAGCCUAGCACCAGUGUACGUACUACUAUUCCAUUCUGGCAUUAACUACCCAGCAUUAAGGCAAACCCCACAAGUUAAGAGCUCAAGCCUCUCCGAGACUGUACUCGCUUCCAGCCAUUCUGCAGGGGUCCCUUAUGACUGACAGGGGGAGGGAGACAAAGUGUGCUUAUCAAAAGUUUGAUAAAUGAGUGACUGAGUAACAUUCUAUUUAAAGGAAUUCUAUAAAUGCUAUAGUAAAAGCUAUCAAUUGUCUUUGGUACUAUUGAUAUUGGCUUCCUAAAUAUCACCAAGACAACUUACAUCGGAGGUUUCCAAGCCCACCCAGUGUUUGAAGAUUCACUGAGAGGACUCGCAGAGCUCAGCGUGCAGUCAUACCCAAUCUAUAACUUACGACAGUGAAAGGAUACAAAGAACAUCAGGAAAGGGAGAAGGCACACGAGGCUGAGUCUGGAGGAAAUGAGGAGCCUCUUCCGAGAGUUCUCCCAGCAGAGUCUCAGGCCACAAGUUGUGACAACACAUGGGAAAUAUUGUCUACCAAGGAAACUCAACAGUCAUGCCUAGGGCUGUUAUUGGAGCUGGUGAUGUUGGCACUUUGUACCUCGCAGACACUAAAAUUCCAGACCUCUAGAAGCAAAGCAGGUGUCCAACAUAAGCCAUGCUGUUUAUACAGACAGUGUGGGCAAACUUAGUCCCACUUAGUCCUCUUAGUCCCUGAAGCCUGAAGUCCUAGAUGCUGGACACAGGCCAACCUUCCAAAGAAGCCUUUCCAAGGAUAGUAGUCUCAGACUUGCUGUUGGUUAGAGAUCCCUCACACAACCAGUCACACUGUGAGGCCAGUCUUCUGAGAGCAGAAAAAACUUUGUUAUUAUUACAAAGUAUGGAAGUAGGAGAAAUAUGUCUUAAAUCUGCCUCCCCGACUGAGUUGUCUGGGAAACCUCUAGGGGUGGGGUAAGAGUAAGCUGGUACAUAGAAAUGCGCAGAAGGCAGAUCUUGAUUGGAGAGGCUUAGGAAGAGGCAGGGUGAUAAGAUGGACUUUUAAUUCUGGAUUUUUGCAUUUGAAGGACCCUUCACUUUUGAAAUGGGCCCGGUGUACCCAAGUCACAAGGUUCCUGUGGCAUCUGUGGUCCUGCCAGUUAGAUUUUCCUUCUUUGGCGCUUGCCUAGGUUGUGUGACUUCUAGUUCUGUGCUCUGGAUUCCCUCUGUGCAUGCACAGCCCUGUCCUAAAAAUGCAUUGACUAAGAAAUCUGAUCAGACCCACUGUUAAAGCAUAAAACGGGGAAACUUUCUGGAGAACAAUGAGGAAGCAUAACAUGACGCUUUUGUGUUGGAGGCUUGAAGAGGGAGCCUGUUAACUCUUUUGCACACAGCCUGUCAUUGAGACUAAGGAGAGUUUAUUGCUUACUAUGGUAAGAAAGAUCACCAUGUUGGUGGUGGAGGAGAAAGGUAGGGGUGGAGAGGAAGAAGGGCAAGGUCAGGAUUUACUGAGAUUGGAAGUUUGGUUUAAAGUAGAUCCUGCAAUGCAGGGCAUAGACUAGGUUUGAAUUAAGAUUGAUGAAGAGCCAAAAGAAGGACAUUGGAGACAAGAGAUUCAAAAAUGUUUAGGGUUCAGAUUGUCUUCUGAUGCCUUUUGUUGAAGCUUUGAUAGGUCUUUCAGGAAGUUCCUGUUAUGAACAUAGAGUUAUUUGUCUGGAUAACAGUCUGGUGGAAUAGUAAAUAAUGCUACUGAAGACAAUGGAAUGGUUGUGUUAAUUAAUAUGGACAGUGAGAUAUGGCAGUUUCCCUUCUCAGUAUAGAUGCAUUUUUUAAAAAAAAAUAGUGAAUAUUUUAAUCAGAAAGUACAUGAUCUGCUAGUGAAAGUUGAAGUUAAUUUACGCCUGAUGAUUCAGGAAAAAUGGUGGCACUGAAUUGGAUUGACUUUUCCCAGAGCUUUUGUCUCUAGUUUCCCGUUAUUAUAAUCUGGGAAUAACCUCCAGAACAAAGUAUAUGUGUUCUUUUGAUGUGAAAGGCAGAGAAGAGGAGAAUCAUGAACAACAAUAGCACCAAGCAUUUAUAAGGAAAUGACUUCCAAAGACAUACACUUAUUUCAUCUCAGCUCUAUCUCUACUCCAAUCCUGAAAUGCCAGUUUUACCAUCUGCAUCUUAUAGAUAGAGAAACGGACAUUCAGAAAAAGGAAAUCACUCAUCCUAUUCACACUCCUAUUGCUGGCAAGGAGAAGACUCAAGAUUAGAACCCCAGUUUCCAGAACCCCAUGAUGAAUUUCCUGAACCAAUACUAACAAGAAGAAUUAGACCAUUGUAUUGAUUUGGACCAAUCGGGAUUUAUCCCUUGAGCUGGGAAUAUGAGUCACUUGAAGAGUGAUGGGCAUCUUCACAAAACUACAAUUUUGUCAGAAGUAAGACGUAGUGGAGGAAAAUACUGUACAAGCAACUGAAGGUGUUAGCCUGGGCUCCCAGCACAAAUCUAUUUUCUGUAAAGCAGCCAGAGAGAUCGCCCCAACCUUCCUUUCCAAUAAUGUUCCUCCUCUGCUUCCAGCUUCUGUGGCUUCCCGUGCUACAUGGACUAAAUCACCAAAAAAUGUACCUGGGGCUACAAGGCUAAGCGGGCUCUGCACCUGCCCUCCUCAUUAAUCAUAAGACCGUCCUUCCGGCUUCCUUUCCAUGUUGAGGGCUUGUGCUUAUCAGUCACAGUUCUCCAAAGAAACAGAAGCAACAGGAUAUGAAAGAUUUCAGGAACUGGCUCACUGUGAUUGUGUUAGCGGGCAAGUUCAGGUCUGCAGGCCACAGACUCAGCUGGUGCUGCCGCCCUGAAGCAGAGCUGCUUCCCUGGGAAACCCCAGUUACUGCUCUUUGCCCCUUUCAACUGACUGAAUGAGGCCAACUUGCCCUGUGAAGGGUGAUCUCCUUGAUUUAAAGAUAAGUGAUUAUAGACGUUAACCACAUCUACAGGGUGUCUGUACAGCCACACCUGGAUCAGUGUUUACUUAAGUAGCCACUGUAGCCUAACCAAACUGACAUAACAAUAAAACCUCCAGAUGGACCAUUCAGAAGUUGCUGUCGGAAGUUGUCCUGGGAGCUGCUCUUUGCCUAUCCUUGCCCACCAUGGGCUGAACCAACUCUUGCUUAUCCAGGUCUCCAUCUCCCAGGAAGAUUCUGGGAGGGCUCCCUGCCCCAGCCACAGUAGGUGCACCACUUUUGGCUCCAAACAAAUUCUCCACUUGUAACAUAACACAGUUUUGUAAUAAGCUGCUUAUCUGUCUGCACUGCCAACUAGAACAUGAGCCCGAGAGCCAAAACUGUACGUAGUUCACCGUUAUGUUUUGUUAGCCAGCCCAGAACCUGUCACAUAGUAGACACUCCAAAUAUUAACCUAAUGAAUGCAUCUUGUUCAUUUAUCUGUGAUUCUACCACAAGUAGUAGCAGAGCUGAAUUAGAACUUACAACCUCUGCCUGCAAAUCUGGACACCUCUCUACUUUGCUACUCCUAUGUGUACUGAAA